CCAAUAGCGUAUAUUAAAGUUGUUGCAGUUAAAAAGCUCGUAGUUGAAUUUCGGGAUUAGUAAGUUGGUCGUGCCUCUGGUAUGUACUGGCUUUACUGAUUCCUCCUUCUUGAAGAACUGUAAUGUCAUUAAUUUGGUGUUGCAGGGAAACAGGACUGUUACUUUGAAAAAAUUAGCGUGUUUAAAGCAGGCUAACGCUUGAAUACAUUAGAAUGGAAUAAUGAAAUAGGACGUUUGAUCCUAUUUUGUUGGUUUCUAGGAUUGACGUAAUGAUUAAUAGGGAUAGUUGGGGGCAUUAGUAUUCAAUUGUCAGAGGUGAAAUUCUUGGAUUUAUUGAAGACUAACUACUGCGAAAGCAUUUGCCAAGGAUGUUUUCAUUAAUCAAGAACGAAAGUUAGGGGACCGAAGACGAUCAGAUACCGUCGUAGUCUUAACCAUAAACUAUGCCGACUAGGGAUCGGAUGAUGUUAAUUUUUUAAUGACUCAUUCGGCGCCUUACG
rnacentral:rRNA from 1 species